GUGCUCACUUUUGCAGCACAGAUGCAGUGCUAAAAUUGGAAGGAUAUGGAGAUAGCAUAGCUUCUACACAAGGAUGACAUGCAAAUCCAUGAAGCAUUCUAUAUAUUG
ensembl:snRNA U6 U6 spliceosomal RNA